UAACGCGUGGGAACCGUACCCUACUACAGGGGGGUAACAGACUGGAAACGGGUGCUAAUACCGCAUAAGCGCACAGAAUCGCAUGAUUCAGUGUGAAAAGACCCUGGCAGUAUAGGAUGGUCCCGCGUCUGAUUAGCUGGUUGGUGAGGUAACGGCUCACCAAGGCGACGAUCAGUAGCCGGCUUGAGAGAGUGAACGGCCACAUUGGGACUGAGACACGGCCCAA
rnacentral:rRNA from 1 species